rnacentral:rRNA from 1 species
GACGAACGCUGGCGGCGUGCUUAACACAUGCAAGUCGAACGGAGUGGCGAACGGGUGAGUAACACGUGGGUGACCUGCCCUGCACUGCGGGAUAAGACUGGGAGACAGGGUCUAAUAACGGAGAGUGUGGGAUGGGCCGGCGGCCUAUCAGCUUGUUGGUGGGGUAAUGGCCUAGCAAGGCGGCGACGGGUACCCGGCAUGAGAGGGUGGACGGCCACAUUGGGACUGAGACACGGCCCAGACUCCUACGGUAGGAAGCAUUGGGGAAUAUUGCGCAAUGGGCGGAAGCCUGAGGCAGCAAUGCCGCGGGUAUGAAGAAGGCCUUAGGGUUGUAAAGUACUUUCAGCGGGGAGGUGUUAAUACCCGUGUCAAUUGACGUUACCCGCAGAAGAAGCACCGGCUAACUCCGUGCCAGCCGCCGCGGUAAUAC